CUUCAGCGAGCCGAGCCAGAGCGGCCGGUCCGCCGGUCGGCCCUGACCGUAGGUGGCGAUCAGCGCCUGCGCCUC
rnacentral:antisense_RNA from 1 species